rnacentral:rRNA from 1 species
GAUGAACGCUGGCGGCGUGCCUAAUACAUGCAAGUCGAGCGAACAGACGAGGAGCUUGCUCCUCUGACGUUAGCGGCGGACGGGUGAGUAACACGUGGAUAACCUACCUAUAAGACUGGGAUAACUUCGGGAAAACGGAGCUAAUACCGGAUAAUAUAUUGAACCGCAGGGUUCAAUAGUGAAAGACGGUUUUGCUGUCACUUAUAGAUGGAUCCGCGCCGCAUUAGCUAGUUGGUAAGGUAACGGCUUACCAAGGCAACGAUGCGUAGCCGACCUGAGAGGGUGAUCAGCCACACUGGAACUGAGACACGGUCCAGACUCCUACGGGAGGCAGCAGUAGGGAAUCUUCCGCAAUGGGCGAAAGCCUGACGGAGCAACGCCGCGUGAGUGAUGAAGGUCUUCGGAUCGUAAAACUCUGUUAUUAGGGAAGAACAAAUGUGUAAUUAACUAUGCACGUCUUGACGGUACCUAAUCAGAAAGCCACGGCUAACUUCGUG